rnacentral:tRNA from 1 species
GAGGGUAUAGCUCAAGUGGUAGAGCCAAUGCUUAGCAUGCAUGAGGUUUUGGGUUCAAUCCCCAGUACCUCCU